AAAUGCGAUAAGUAAUGUGAAUUGCAGAAUUCAGUGAAUCAUCGAAUCUUUGAACGCACAUUGCGCCCGCCAGUAUUCUGGCGGGCAUGCCUGUUCGAGCGUCAUUUCAACCAUCAAGCCCCCGGCUUGUGUUGGGGACCUUUGGCUGCCCGCAGGCCCUGAAAAACAGUGGCGGGCUCGCUGUCACACCGAGCGUAGUAGCAUACAUUCUCGCUCAGGGCGUGCUGCGGGUUCCGGCCGUUAAACGACCUUCAUAACCCAAGGUUGACCUCGGAUCAGGUAGGAAGACCCGCUGAACUUAAGC
rnacentral:misc_RNA from 1 species